UACGUAGGGGGCAAGCGUUGUCCGGAAUUAUUGGGCGUAAAGAGCGUGUAGGCGGCCAGAUAAGUCCGCUGUGAAAUCUCGAGGCUCAACUUCGAGCUGUCGGUGGAAACUAUCUGGCUAGAGUCCGGAAGAGGAGAAUGGAAUUCCUGGUGUAGCGGUGAAAUGCGCAGAUAUCAGGAAGAACACCCGUGGCGAAGGCGGUUCUCUGGGCCUUACCUGACGCUGAGGCGCGAAAGCUAGGGGAGCAAACAGG
rnacentral:rRNA from 1 species